AUAAUUGGAUCAUUUUUGAUUUCUACAAAUGACCUAAGAGAUCACUAUUACCUUUUCCAUUUUAAGGAUGAGAAAACUGCUGCUCAGAACGUUAAAGGGACUUAUCCAAACUCAUGAAAUAAGUAAAAGGCAGAACAAAGUUUUAAAUCAGCUCUCACUGGUCCUAAAGCCUGUACUUAUUCCACAGUACUAUUGGAAAACAGAGGAGUGCCAAACAAGUGACUCACCUAAAUCAAUGCUGAAGACACACAGAAUAUUGAAGGAUCAACUCUACUUCUUCGAAAUAUACUUUAAUACUUUCACUGCCAAACCAGAGUUCAAGAAAUAACUGCGGUGGAAUGAUAAUGAGAAGUUUAACAGUUUUAUGAUGGUUGAAGCUGACUUUAUGAAAGUUGAUAAAUUUCAUCUUGUAGGUUUCAAUUUCUCAUUCCCUACCGAGAGAUGGGGAGAAUACAUUGACACUGCAUUUUAAAUUGGCUAGAUCAGAAGGAACAGCAGCUAAAAUCCAUUACAACCCAAUUACUUCCAUCAGCUGAAGCUGUGUGCAUUCACUUGUGAACAUCAGCAUUUAAUCCAUAAAGAGGAACUAAUGAGAAAUUUGAAAAUGGAAUCCACGCAUCAGUAAGUUUGGAGAGAUUUUUCUGGGAUUAAUGAUCUGCCAGAGCAUCUUCAGCAUGCUGGAAAGCUAUUCUCUCUGGGUUUGUUUACUGACCAAGAGAAAAAAAAAGGGGGUUUCCUUCUGUCUGCUCAUCAAAUAUUUGAAAGACUACUCAUUUCAGUCCUUGAAAAUGGGAUACCGUGAGCUUUGGAAGUAAGGUACGUGUUGGUGAACACUGUUGUCAUUGAACAGGAAAAAUUAAAUUAUUAGGUGAGAAGUUUCCACCUAGAGAUUAGUAACAAGUAGCCUGAACAAAUUAUUUUACCUGUAUAGAUGCUAAGACAGAUGUGUUCUUUUAAUUUAAGACCUGAGAGCGUGUUUAGAGUUGCACGUAAUGGCAAUAAUUCUAUGUUGUAGAAAUAGAGAAAUAGUUUUUAUUUUUCACUUUUGGUGGUUGCAUGGAUAGAAAUAAAUAUUCCUCUUGUCGAAUUGCAAUUGCUUAAAGAGUAACAAGGAAGCUUAGAGAGAGUAGAGCAUAAACUUGUUAACAAUUGCAUAACUUCACAUGUACAAUUUCUGAGUUAAUAAACAUAUAGUUUGUGAAAAGUUAACACUGGAUGAAGCUUUAGAAUGCUGUGCAAUUUCUUCUCAUCUGGUGAAAAUGGUUUCUGUAAGCAUACAAUUUAGGGAUGUUACUAUAUCCGAGGUCUGGCAAAUGUAGUCAUCAGAUUAAAUAAAUGUAUAUGUGGACUGUGGGGGAUUGGAUCCCCAUGUUUGGAAAGUAAUUUGGUUCAAUUUGUUGCUCUUUGGAGAGAAGGUAAGUGUGUAGAUUUCAUAUUCAAAUUACAUCAGACAGUAUGACUUGUUCCUCUAUUUCUAUAGUUCCUGAAGUAUGCCUCUCUAAGUGUGAAUACAGCACCUCAUGAUAUUGAUGGCUUUAAUGGAGGUUAAAACAUAAGAAAUUAGAGUUGUUAUUUUUUUUUGUCUUAUGCAAAAUUUCAGAGAGAAGUUUAAUUUCAUUCUAUCUUUAGAAAAAUAAAUAGCAAAGGGAAUACACAGAAGUGUGACCCUUGUAUUCUGGGCACAGGGAAGCCAUUGGAGGAUUUUUAGUGGAGAGAUAACACACAGGUAUUAGAAGGGUUACUCUGGCUGCAGUGGAGACUAGAUUGGGGUAAGAUUGUAAAUGGAGAGUGCAGAGAGAACAAUGAGGCUUUUUCUGUUUUUAAAGGAAGAGAGUAUUGGUGGUGGCAACAAUAUUGGGAGAGGAGACAUGUUGAAGGAUAUAUGAGAAGUAGAGCUGACAGAACUUGGUUGUUGAAAUACCGGAUGUUGUUUUUAGAGCAAGUGGGUUAUUGGUGGUUCCAUUUACUGCGAGAGAGGUACUGGGUAAAAGGGGAUUAGUCAUGGGAGUCCAGGCUAUCUUCUUGGCCUUUGCUGAUGGGCAUGGGGACAGGGCUGUUAUUUUUUUGUGGUAUUGGUCUGCAGUAGGGUACCUAUUACCUUAAAGUUUGUUUUGCUAGCCUUUGCCUUUUGUGUAUUUUGGCUUGAGAGAGCUGGCUUUCCAUGGGGUGAUUUUUGUGUGCUAUUGUUGCUGUUUCCAAAUUGCUAGCUUGCCAUCACACAGUCUGGGAUACAUGAAGCAAAAAGCAAAAUCAAGAAACUCAUGUAAUUCCUUGAGUUAAGGGUCUCAAAUGGUAUGUUUUUUUCCUCCAACUUUGGGAGUCCUUUUAUGAUUGUUUUAUACCUAGUGUCCUGGAUUUUUAGUUGUACUUAGAAGGAGGAGUAGGGAAAUUUACUUCUACUCUAUCUUGUUCUGAAACUGCAAGUAACUUAGGAUUUCUUAAGCUAGAAACAAUUAUAAAAGAACUAAGGAGGAAGAGACUAAUACAAAAAACAAAGUUCCAUUACUGCCUGAAAUACUGACCCUUCACAUUUAAAACUAAGAUUAUUAUAUAUUUAUCUAAGACUCACUUUUCCAAAUUUCUAGCAUUAUCAGAAACACUAGUCUGUAAGUUCUGCUUCAAAAAUAAUCUGAAGAAAGGCCAUAACUGUGUGUUAGGAAUAAGAGUUCCAUUAUUCUAACAUAAGAUUAAGAUUGCUCUGACUUAUGAUAAGAAAAGAAAAAAUUAUUGAUUUUGAUAACAUCUAAACAUGACCAACAUUUUAUUAGAAAAUCAAAACAUUAGAGAGAAAUUUAAUAUAAUUUUAGUAUAAAAUCAAAUAGGUGAACAAGCAUGGGAAAUACACAUAAAAGGUAACUGGGACUCAUUUGGUGGAAAUACAAAUUACAGCACAUCAAGGCCAUUGGUGAACAAUUAUUUAUUAAGUGUAUUUUUUCUGAUUGAGCAGUUCUGUAAAUAUUUGUGUAUGUACUUUUAUUAUUAAAUAUAUUCAAAUAUUUACUCAUGUAUAGUCUAUGUUGCUAUGGAAAGGAACAGAGAUGAGAGAGAGAGAAACAGAGGAAAAGAGAGAGAAUUAGUGGAUUAAACAAGAAGGAAAAAAACAUUAAAAAAAUAAUUCCAGAGGAAGGUGGAUGUUCCAGGAUGGGUGAAUGGCUCAGCUCCAUGAAGUUCUGAGCAAUUCUUUCUCAUUGCUUUACCAGUUCUGAAGGGGUUGCUAUUUUUUGCAAGGUCAAGUCUGGGUCAAGUCUGGCUUCCUGAAACUAUAGCCUGGUGUUCCAUCCUAUAGAAAGGGGGAAAGAGAAAAUGGAUGUCAAGCAUAUGUUUCCAAGUAAGUCACAUGGAUUUGUAUACAUCGUUUCUACACACAUUUCGUUUGAUGAUAACUUCUUUCCCUCACUGACCACUUCCCUAAGGAUACUACCCCAAAUUCCAUUCAGCUACAGUAUGCAACUAGAAAUUUAGGAUCUGUGAGUGAUGUGCAAUCCUUUCUAUAUGCUCCAGAUUUGGCUCCUGGUUAACUAAGGGGAUAUAAACUAAUAUCUGUUCCCACUCCUCACACAUACCCAGUAUGCAACAGAUAGUUGCUUUAAACUCUCCCCACAAAUAAAAGGAAGAAUUAGAGGCACACCACAGAGUAGUCACAGGUUUUCAAGAAAUCCUCUUGCCUCAGCCUCUUGAGUAGCUAGGACUACAGUGCAUGCCAC
rnacentral:lncRNA from 1 species